ACUCAUCACGCCCAUUGCAACCAAGUCCUUUCUCGUUGAAAUCCCAUCAUUUGUUUUAUCGGGUAUGUCAAGCAAUGUGCCAAUGACACUUUCACACAUAUUUUUCUCAAUAUGCAUCACAUCAAGUAUAUGGCGAAUAUGUAAAUGUUCCCAAUACUCAAGAUCAAAGAAUAUAGACUUCUUCUUGAAACAAUUGUUUUCCACAGAAGGCGUUGUUGCAUCAUGUUUCUUCCUCUUCUUGGAGUUCUUCAUAUUCUUCUUUCCCCACUUAUUUUGGCACUUCUCCAUUUGUUUUAAGACUUCAUGACCAGUUAAUGGUUUUGGGGCAUGCCCAAACUCUUGUAAGCCAUCAAAAGCUUUUUUUGUCGUCGAUAUGGAUGAAAUUCAGAUAAAAACCUUUUAUGACCUCUAUAGGAUACCUUUCUACUAUGUGGCAACCACCUAGAAGAGGUUUCGUCAGCACAUACAGGACAUGCCUUAUAUCAUUUCACACUACACCCAGACAAGUUUCCAUAGGCGGGGAAAUCAUUGAUUGUUCACAGAAGAACAACUCUAAGUGUGAAUAUCUCUUCACGAUAUGCAUCAUAUGCUUGGACACCUAUCUCCCACAAAUGCUUCAAGUCAUCAAUAAGAGGUGCCAAAUAUACAUCAAUGUCAUUUCCCGGCUGUUUAGGACCCGAAAUCAACAGAGUUAACAUCAUAAAUUUUCUCUUCAUGCAUAACCAGGGCGGAAGGUUGUAUGUGACAAGUAUAACUGGCCAACAACUAUAUUUUGAAUUCAUCAUACUAUGUGGGUUCAUACCAUCGGCUGCUAAAGCUAGUCAAAGAUUUCUCGCCUCUUUACCA
rnacentral:lncRNA from 1 species